rnacentral:tRNA from 1 species
GAGGGUAUAGCUCAGGGGCAAAGUGCGUGCUUAGCAUGCACAAGGACCUGGGUUCAAACCUCAGCACCUCCA